rnacentral:rRNA from 1 species
GGCCAGACUCCUACGGGAGGCAGCAGUGGGGAAUAUUGCACAAUGGGGGAAACCCUGAUGCAGCGACGCCGCGUGAGUGAAGAAGUAUUUCGGUAUGUAAAGCUCUAUCAGCAGGGAAGAGAAUGACGGUACCUGAGUAAGAAGCCCCGGCUAACUACGUGCCAGCAGCCGCGGUAAUACGUAGGGGGCAAGCGUUAUCCGGAUUUACUGGGUGUAAAGGGAGCGUAGACGGCGAAGAAAGUCUGAAGUGAAAGCCGGCGGCUCAACCGCGGAACUGCUUUGGAAACUUGUUUGCUGGAGUGCCGGAGAGGUAAGCGGAAUUCCUAGUGUAGCGGUGAAAUGCGUAGAUAUUAGGAGGAACACCAGUGGCGAAGGCGGCUUACUGGACGGUAACUGACGUUGAGGCUCGAAAGCGUGGGGAGCAAACAGGAUUAGAUACCCUGGUA